GUUGGGCUGAGUUUGUUAAGACUCGGGUCAAGCCCGAGGUUCUGGGUUCAAAACCCAGCUUCAACA
rnacentral:tRNA from 1 species